rnacentral:rRNA from 1 species
UACGUAGGCAGCGAGCGUUGUUCGGAAUUACUGGGCGUAAAGAGUGUGUAGGCGGUGCUCUAAGUUCGGUGUGAAAUCUCCCGGCUUAACUGGGAGGGUGCGCCGGAAACUGGAGUGCUCGAGCGUGGGAGAGGAAAGCGGAAUUCCUGGUGUAGCGGUGAAAUGCGUAGAUAUCGGAAGGAACACCAGUGGCGAAAGCGGCUUCCUGGUCCAGCACCGACGUUCAGGCACGAAAGCGUGGGGAGCAAACAGG